rnacentral:tRNA from 1 species
GGAAUUGUGCCCGAAUACCCAAGGACCAUUUUGAUAGAAUGACACAUGAGGGUUAAAAUCCCCCCAAUUCCUUAGAAAGAAGGGGCUCGAACCCAUGCUCAAGAGAUCAAAACUCCAGGUGCUUCCGCUACACCACUUUCUA